GGUGAUCAUAGUGGGAGGGCCACACGCGUUCCCAUUCCGAACACGACCGUUAAGCCUUCCACGCCGAUGGUAUUUGCUCGGAGAGGGCUGAGAGAGUAGGUAGUUGCC
rnacentral:rRNA from 1 species